AGCGGAUGACGGGAGCUUGCUCCUUGAUUCAGCGGCGGACGGGUGAGUAAUGCCUAGGAAUCUGCCUGGUAGUGGGGGACAACGUUUCGAAAGGAACGCUAAUACCGCAUACGUCCUACGGGAGAAAGCAGGGGACCUUCGGGCCUUGCGCUAUCAGAUGAGCCUAGGUCGGAUUAGCUUGUUGGUGAGGUAAUGGCUCACCAAGGCGACGAUCCGUAACUGGUCUGAGAGGAUGAUCAGUCACACUGGAACUGAGACACGGUCCAGACUCCUACGGGAGGCAGCAGUGGGGAAUAUUGGACAAUGGGCGAAAGCCUGAUCCAGCCAUGCCGCGUGUGUGAAGAAGGUCUUCGGAUUGUAAAGCACUUUAAGUUGGGAGGAAGGGUUGUAGAUUAAUACUCUGCAAUUUGACGUUACCGACAGAAUAAGCA
rnacentral:rRNA from 1 species